UACGUAGGGCGCAAGCGUUGUCCGGAAUUAUUGGGCGUAAAGAGCUCGUAGGCGGCCUGUUACGUCUGCUGUGAAAUCCCGGGGCUUAACCCCGGGCGUGCAGUGGAUACGGGCAGGCUGGAGGCAGGCAGGGGAGAACGGAAUUCCCGGUGUAGCGGUGAAAUGCGCAGAUAUCGGGAGGAACACCGGUGGCGAAGGCGGUUCUCUGGGCCGAUACUGACACUGAGAAGCGAAAGCGUGGGGAGCGAACAGG
rnacentral:rRNA from 1 species